rnacentral:tRNA from 1 species
GGAGAGGUGCCGGAGUGGUUUAACGGGCACGACUGGAAAUCGUGUGUCCUGCCAAAAGCGGGACCGUGGGUUCGAAUCCCACCCUCUCCG